rnacentral:rRNA from 1 species
AACGUAGGAGGCAAGCGUUAUCCGGAGUUACUGGGCGUAAAGCGUGCGUAGGCGGAUGGGUAAGUGGGUGGUGAAAGCGCCCGGCUAAACCGGGCGAGGACCAUUCAGACUGCUCGUCUAGAGGCGGAUAGAGGGGUGCGGAAUUCCGGGUGUAGCGGUGAAAUGUGUAGAGAUCCGGAGGAACACCAGUGGUGCAAACGGCGCCCUGGGUCCGAACUGACGCUGAAGCACGAAAGCGUGGGGAGCGAACGGG